rnacentral:pre_miRNA from 1 species
CGGACCCAGAUAUAGAGGAGUAUAACACCAGGAGGUUCCACUUCGCUGAGCAUAUCUCGCCAUCAAGGGAGAGCAGGAGUCUCGCUGAGAGCCAUGAGAAGAUCAGUAAGCUCCAAGCCUGGUGCAAGUUCCAGGACAAGUUCAUUGGUAAGUGCUUCAAGAUGUGCACAUCCAUACAGAAGAAGUUGAACCGCUCCUCUACUAGCACUACUGCACCA